rnacentral:rRNA from 1 species
GUGGGGAAUAUUGCACAAUGGGGGGAACCCUGAUGCAGCGACGCCGCGUGAGUGACGAAGUAUCUCGGUAUGUAAAGCUCUGUCAGCAGGGAAGAAGAAUGACGGUACCUGAAGAAGAAGCACCGGCUAAAUACGUGCCAGCAGCCGCGGUAAUACGUAUGGUGCAAGCGUUAUCCGGAUUUACUGGGUGUAAAGGGAGCGCAGGCGGCGCGGCAAGUCCGGUGUGAAAGCCCGGGGCUCAACCCCGGUACUGCACUGGAAACUGUCGUGCUUGAGUGUCGGAGGGGCAGGCGGAAUUCCUGGUGUAGCGGUGAAAUGCGUAGAUAUCAGGAGGAACACCGGUGGCGAAGGCGGCCUGCUGGACGACAACUGACGCUGAGGCUCGAAAGCGUGGGGAGCAAACAGGA